UCUUUUAUUGGUGGUCUUUUCAACUUCCUAACUUUAAUCUAUAUGGGCAGGCUCUUUACUUUUUUAGCUUUUAUACAAGGAUAUUAUAUUUUUUACAUAGUUUUUGCCUCUGUUAAUUUGCUGCUGAUAUUUCAAUAAUUUUCUUGAUAGGUGUUCUUCUAAGCUUGUCAGUUCCUGUUUUGUAUGACAAGUUCCAGGACCAAAUCGAUGCUAAGCUGUACAUGAUAAAUGGAAUUAUUGAGCCAUAUUAUAGAAGGAUUUCAAGCAAGAUUCCAAAACUGUGAAAUAAAAGAAGGUGCAGUAGGAUGCACAUGGACAAGCGAAGUCGAUUUAGGGGUAUAUAAAUGAGUGCUUAACAUAUGAAGUACUUGAGGUUGGAGCACGGGGUUUACAAUAUCUCAAGGAUGAGGGAGUCAGCAGCAAAUAGAUACAAAGUCUUUCGGAUUCCAGUUCAUUGGAUGCUUGAUAGUGGCUUUGUGACUCAGAGUUCGUGCCCUGGGAUGAUUCCGUCGGCCGUGAAUGACAUUGUUGCUGGUCUAAAAGGAUUCAGAGAUGAUGAUGUGAAGCCAUUUUAAUUUCUUCUUGUUUGAAUGCAGUUGAGACUCAGGUUUGUUUGUAGAUAGAAAUAAUUUAAUUCUUUUUCUUGUUAAUGUAAGAAUAUAUACAAGUAACUUAGCAAGGUAGUGAACCUAAAUCUAACGCCAUUGACAUGAAUACAUGAUUUAAUUGCAUUGAUAUUGAUUAGAACGAAAGUAGAGGAUUUUCUUCUCUCUAUUUUUCAUACAAACAGUUUUUAACUAAUGAAAUUUCUUAGG